rnacentral:rRNA from 1 species
UACGUAGGGUGCAAGCGUUAAUCGGAAUUACUGGGCGUAAAGCGUGCGCAGGCGGUGAUGUAAGACAGUUGUGAAAUCCCCGGGCUCAACCUGGGAACUGCCUUUGUGACUGCAUGACUAGAGUACGGUAGAGGGGGAUGGAAUUCCGCGUGUAGCAGUGAAAUGCGUAGAUAUGCGGAGGAACACCGAUGGCGAAGGCAAUCCCCUGGACCUGUACUGACGCUCAUGCACGAAAGCGUGGGGAGCAAACAGG